GCAGAGCUGUGCUGGCAGCUGAGGGGGGAGGCGGGGCCUCGGCUGGUGCCUGGGGCAAAGGUCGCCCUGCAGCACAACAUCGGUCUUGGUGGAGUGGUGGUCAUCACUCUCUACAGGAUGGGCUUUCCUCAAGAAACAAGCUCUCGGAUCGCUCAAAGGCUUCAAAUUUCACGCUGUCUUCAAGGAGAUAGAGAAGAAGCUACAGGAGGAAGGAGAGAUAUGUUAAGAAAAUUGGUGGUGUUUUUGCUUUCAAAGUGAAGGACGGUCCAGGUGGAAGUGAAGCAUUAUGGGUUGUGGAUGCAAAAAAUGGCAAAGAUUCAGUAGUCAGUGAUGCAGGUAAAAAGGCAGACUGCACCAUCUCAAUGUCUGACUCAGAUCUGCUUGAACUGAUGACAGGGCAGUUGAAUCCACAAAAGGUACAGUUUAAUGAUGGUUUAUUCUUAGUGGUUUGUUGAUGUAUUGUGUUUUUUUAUAUAUAAACAACAGCUAUUCUGAAGUUGGUGUAUAUCAGUGUAGUUUGAGGGCUAAAUAAGGUUUGAGAGUGUCAUGGGACAGAGCCAGUGGUGCAGGGUUAGUCCCUCUUAAAGGGCUCAUGAACUGAGAAAUUAAAAUUACCUUGAUCUUUUGACAUAUAAGAGGUCAUUUUACUAUUAAAACAUCCUGUAAGCAUCUAAAAACAGCUUAUAUUCAAGCCAGUCUGCCAUGUGCCACUUUAUGACGUAAUAGUGUGGCUAAACUCCACCUCUGCAGAAGAAGAUCAACGCCUACAUCUACAUCACUGCCUGUCUAGCCUUACCCACAUUUGCACAUGUAGUGUAAAUAAAGAGAGAGGCAAAUGCAUUCUUGAAAUUUUAAGAAGUCCAUAAAACUUAACAACUCUCUAUGAAAAAAAAAGCUUAACAUAGAGUUACUUUGACAUUCUCUUGACCUGGCUUUAGCUACCAUGACACGCAUACAGGAUCAAAAAAAAAGUUAUUGAAUUCCUGUUGCGUGCCCAACCAUUUCUUAUGACUUCCAUCAUACACAUUAAAGCACACAAAGCCUACUGACGCAGAAUGCCGAUCAGAAAGAAGCUUUAAUGCAAUUCCAAAUUAGGCUAAUGGCCUCUAAUGUUUCCUCUGCUGAUGUGAGUCAGAGCAUGAAAAAUAGAUUGUUUUCAUAAGCCCUUUGAAAUGUCAAUCCCCCGUGAUUUAUCCAUCUGUGUUGACUCAACAAACCUCCAUCAUGUCUGUCCAUAUGUGGAACAUUACAUCAGACAUCAGAUGUUUUGACAGAAACUUAAUCUAAAAAUUAGCCACUCUUUUCACAGUAAUCCUCCAUAAAUUUAAUCUUUAAUCUGAAAUAGAAAAGCCGAACCAUUCAGAGCUCAAAUCCAUCAUACUCACGACAUGUAGAAAUGGCCAAAUGUAGAAAAAA